rnacentral:lncRNA from 1 species
CGUUCCACGGGGAUUUUAUUAAAACAAACAUAAUUUUAUUUAUUUUACAAAGUCGGGAACUCGACUAAAGUCCUUAAAGAUAAACGCAGCAGAAAAUAAAACAAACGAGUCAACGGGUACCCAUGAAAAACAAAACGAGUGAAAACAUCAACAUCUUGCGCCUUGCAAACAACAACGGAAAUCUACGACUGGCCUCAUCCUCCACACCCCGCAAACGCCCAAUCCCCUAAGGUUAC